rnacentral:rRNA from 1 species
GACGAACGCUGGCGGCGUGCUUAACACAUGCAAGUCGAGCGGUAAGGCCCUUUCGGGGGUACACGAGCGGCGAACGGGUGAGUAACACGUGGGUGACCUGCCCUCAGCUCUGGGAUAAGCCCGGGAAACUGGGUCUAAUACCGGAUAUGACUCCAUGACGCAUGUUGUGGGGUGGAAAGCCUUGUGCGGCUGAGGAUGGGCCCGCGGCCUAUCAGCUUGUUGGUGGGGUGACGGCCUACCAAGGCGACGACGGUAGCCGGCCUGAGAGGGCGACCGGCCACACUGGGACUGAGACACGGCCCAGACUCCUACGGGAGGCAGCAGUGGGGAAUCUUGCGC